rfam:Salmo salar isolate Sally breed double haploid chromosome ssa27, whole genome shotgun sequence.
UGGCUCAGUUGGUAGAGCAUGGUGUGUGCAACUCCAGGGUUGUGGGUUCGAUUCCCAC